rnacentral:miRNA from 1 species
UCUGAAGAGGAUACAGGGUCUGA